rnacentral:rRNA from 1 species
UACGUAGGGGGCUAGCGUUGUCCGGAAUCAUUGGGCGUAAAGCGCGCGUAGGCGGCCCGGUAAGUCCGCUGUGAAAGUCCAGGGCUCAACCCUGGAAAGCCGGUGGAUACUGUCGGGCUCGAGUCCGGAAGAGGCGAGUGGAAUUCCUGGUGUAGCGGUGGAAUGCGUAGAUAUCGAGAGGAACACCUGUGGCGAAGGCGGCUUUCUGGGCCUUACCUGACGCUGAGACGCGAAAGCGUGGGGAGCGAACCGG